rnacentral:lncRNA from 1 species
UAAAAAAAAAAAAAAAAAAAGGUUGGAAUGAGAGAGGAAUCCUUUAUUAAAGGGUUAAUUUUAUAAGGAUUCCUGCAAACAUAGUGAAUAACAAAUAUAUCCCUAUAAAGUUUAAUUUUUAUAUAUUGUUUCAGCAAAAGUUUUAAUAUUUUUAAAUAUGUUCUGCUGAUUUAUUAUCGUUAAAGAACCGCCAGAAAACUGUUUAUAUUUUCAAUUUUAUCAUUACAAAUAUGUUCCUUAAAAAGUCAUAACAAUAUAAUAUAAGAGAGGUAAAAAUGUCAAAAAGUAACUAAGGUUAAGUAUUUAAUCUAUAGUUAACUAAAUUUUUCUAACAGAUUCUAACGGCAGAGACAUAUUUGAAAACAUCAAAAUUUUUACAGAGAUAACAUAUGAAAGUUGAACUUUGUAGAGAUAUAUUUGCAAUUUACUAUAUUUACAGGAACCUGUAUAAAAUUAACCUUAAAUUUAUUAAAUAUGAGAAACUAUACAUGCUUUAUUAGAAAAUUCU